CGUUGUAUGACUAUUUGUGGAGUACUUACUACCAAUCCACUAAUAUUUUUAUUUUUUACGAAGAUUGUCUUUUUAAGUUUAUUUAUAUCAACAGCGAUAAAUUGAAAAUAGGAGACUGGGCAAAGAGAUAGUGAGCUAGCUAGAGAGUGAUAUUUUUUGUAGAAUAUAACAAACAUAUGAUAUUCAAUCAACUAUAGUACAAUAUAGUGUGAGUUUGAUUUUCAGUUACGUCUGAACGUGAAUCCAACCUUUCCCUUCCUUCUCCGUCUGUGUCUUGGAAAGUGGGGAAACAACGUUCAAAGUGGUUCAAACAGGAAAACAAACACACCAUAAAAAGCUUUAUGACAAACUUUAUUAAUGGAAUAUGCAUGCAUGCAUAAUAAUACAUAACCUAAAACAUAGAGAUUAUAUAGAUAGCUGGUUAGAGCAAAAAGAAAACCUUGCUAAUUGCAAAAUAACAUAGCCUAGAAUGGAAUACACAUGCACACACAAUAUAACUAAUACGAGUACAUGAUAUUUUUAUUUUUAUUUUUGGAUGAUGCAUAUUAUUAACUGUUUGCAUGUUAAUGGCCAACUCCAGGACUGUGGCCAGGAGUUGUAGGCCUAAAAGCUUCAACAUCUCCCGCUAGGCUUCUAAUGCUACGGUAGGUUGGGAUGACAUUAGCACUUUUUGUUGCAAUGCUCAUUGCUUUGGUAGCAUCUGGUGAUUGAAUGGUAUGUCUCAAAUUCCUUCCCUCACUACCGAGUAGUUCAUGGGACAAAAACAAGAGUGCAAAGAGAAACCAAAUGUGGGUGAGACGGCCCAUUUGUGAAAAUGAGAAAGAAAAGAACUCAGCUAAAAGAUACUGAGUUCAAGGGUUAAAGGUGGCACGGGCUGGAAAAGAUGGGUGUUUAGGCAAGGAAUUGAAGGGAGAAUGAUUCUUUAAUGGUCACUACACAAACGGUAUUUAUAGAGCCGAAAAGGAGUAUCAUGUAUGUGCUCCA
rnacentral:lncRNA from 1 species